rnacentral:rRNA from 1 species
AACCCACACUUCAGUUGCCAUCAUUCAUUGGGCACUCUGGAAGAACUGCCGGUGAUAAGCCCGGAGGAAGGUGUGGAUGACGUCAAGUCCUCAUGGCCCUUACGGGUUGGGCUACACACGUGCUACAAUGGUGGUGACAGUGGGUUAAUCCCCAAAAGCCAUCUCAGUUCGGAUUGUCGUCUGCAACUCGACGGCAUGAAGUUGGAAUCGCUAGUAAUCGCGUAACAGCAUGACGCGGUGAAUACGUUCCCGGGCCUU